rnacentral:rRNA from 1 species
GUGCCAGCCGCCGCGGUAACACCGGCAGCCCAAGUGAUGGCCACUAUUAUUGGGCCUAAAGCGUCCGUAGCCGGCCGAACAGGUCCAUCGGGAAAUCUGCCCGCUUAACGGGCAGGCGUCCGGUGGAAACCGUUCGGCUUGGGGCCGGAAGACCCGAGGGGUACGUCCGGGGUAGGAGUGAAAUCCCGUAAUCCUGGACGGACCGCCGGUCGCGAAAGCGCCUCGGGAGGACGGACCCGACGGUCAGGGACGAAAGCUGGGGUCUCGAACCGGAUUAGAUACCCCUUAGUCC